rnacentral:rRNA from 1 species
CCCAGUUCGGAUUGUAGUCUGCAACCCGACUACAUGAAGCCGGAAUCGCUAGUAAUCGCGGAUCAGAAUGCCGCGGUGAAUACGUUCCCGGGUCUUGUACACACCGCCCGUCACACCAUGGGAGCCGGUAAUGCCCGAAGUCUGUGGCCCAACCGAGAGGGGGAGCAGCCGAAGGCAGGCCCGGUGACUGGGGUGAAGUCGUAACAAGGUAUC